rnacentral:tRNA from 1 species
UCCCUAGUGGCUCAGACGGUAAAGCGUCUGCCUGCAAUGCAGGAGACCCGGGUUCGGUCCCUAGGUCGGGAA